rnacentral:lncRNA from 1 species
ACAUUGAUGGAUAGCCACAUGGAUCCAGAAAAUAAAGACUUCUACUCUGCAUAUUGACUAAAGCAGAAGAUAUGCAGGGAAGCUCAGUCUCUCAAUUGAGUGGAUUCUGAAAUUUAUCCUGUUGUCUUCAGCUACUAAGGCUAAUUUGCAAAUCACACUGUGUACGGACGGCGUCUCGCUGUGUUGCCCAGGCUGGAGUGCAGUGGCGCGAUCUCAGCUCACUGCAACCUCACCUCCCGGGUUCAAGCAAUUCCUCUGCCUCAGCCUCCCGAGUAGCUGGGACUACAGGUGCGUGCCACCAUGCCUGGCUCAUUUUUUUUGUAUUUUAGUAGAGACGGGGUUUCACCAUGUUGGCCAGGAUGGCCCCGAUUUCCUGACCUUGUGAUCCGCCAGCCUCGGCCUUCCAAAGCGCUGGGAUUACAGUCAUGAGCCACCGCGCCCGGCC